rnacentral:rRNA from 1 species
AAACCAACAGGGAUUGCCCCAGUAGCGGCGAGUGAAGCGGCAAGAGCUCAGAUUUGAAAUCGUGUUUCGGCACGAGUUGUAGAGUGUAGGCGGGAGUCUCUGUGGAGCGCGGUGUCCAAGUCCCUUGGAACAGGGUGCCUGAGAGGGUGAGAGCCCCGUAGGGUGCUGCGCGAAGCUUUUGAGGCCCUGCUGACGAGUCGAGUUGUUUGGGAAUGCAGCUCCAAGCGGGUGGUAAAUUCCAUCUAAGGCUAAAUAUUGGCGAGAGACCGAUAGCGAACAAGUACUGUGAAGGAAAGAUGAAAAGCACUUUGAAAAGAGAGUGAAACAGCACGUGAAAUUGUUGAAAGGGAAGGGUAUUGGGCUCGACAUGGGGGGUGCGCACCGCUGUCUCUUGUAGGCGGCGCUCUGGGCGCCCUCUGGGCCAGCAUCGGUUCCUGCUGCGGGAGAAGGGGCUCCGGAAAGUGGCUCUUCGGAGUGUUAUAGCCGGGGCCAGAUGCUGCGUGUGGGGACCGAGGACUGCGGCUUCUUU